GACGUAGGGCGCGAGCGUUGUCCGGAUUUAUUGGGCGUAAAGAGCUCGUAGGCGGCUUGUUGCGUCGGCUGUGAAAACCCGUGGCUUAACUGCGGGCUUGCAGCUGAUACGGGCGGGCUAGAGUUCGGUAGGGGAGACUGGAAUUCCUGGUGUAGCGGUGAAAUGCGCAGAUAUCAGGAGGAACACCGGUGGCGAAGGCGGGUCUCUGGGCCGUUACUGGACGCUGAGGAGCGAAAGCGUGGGGAGCGAACAGG
rnacentral:rRNA from 1 species